GCGAGCGUAGCUCAGUGGUAGAGCCCCACCUUGCCAAGGUGACUGUCGUGAGUUCGAAUCUCAUCGCUCGCUCCA
rnacentral:tRNA from 6 species